UACGAAGGGGGCUAGCGUUGCUCGGAAUCACUGGGCGUAAAGCGCACGUAGGCGGAUUGUUAAGUCGGGGGUGAAAUCCUGGAGCUCAACUCCAGAACUGCCUUUGAUACUGAGGAUCUUGAGUUCGGGAGAGGUGAGUGGAACUGCGAGUGUAGAGGUGAAAUUCGUAGAUAUUCGCAAGAACACCAGUGGCGAAGGCGGCUCACUGGCCCGAUACUGACGCUGAGGCACGAAAGCGUGGGGAGCAAACAGG
rnacentral:rRNA from 1 species